rnacentral:rRNA from 1 species
AGGACGAACGCUGGCGGCGCGCUUAACACAUGCAAGUCGAGCGAGAACCAGGCCUUCGGGCCUGGGGAAAGCGGCGAACGGGUGAGUAACACGUGGGUAACCCACCCUUGGUACCGGGAUAGCCCGAGGAAACUCGGAUUAAUACCGGAUGGCCCAACAGCUUCUCGGAGCGGUUGGAAAAGGUAGCUUCGGCCUCCGACCAAGGACGGGCCCGCGGUGGAUUAGCUUGUUGGUGAGGUAACGGCUCACCAAGGCUUCGAUCCAUAGCUGGUCUGAGAGGACGAUCAGCCACACUGGGACUGAGACACGGCCCAGACUCCUACGGGAGGCAGCAGUGGGGAAUCUUGCGCAAUGGGCGAAAGCCUGACGCAGCGACGCCGCGUGGGGGAAGAAGGCUUUCGGGUUGUAAACCCCUUUCAGGAAGGACGAAGCCACUCGGGUUAAUAGCCCAGAGGGUGACGGUACUUCCAGAAGAAGCCCCGGCUAACUACGUGCCAGCAGCCGC